UCGGAUGUGGUGCAUGGUGCACACCCGCUCCCUUUCUUUGUUCACAGCGCAUUUGGCGGUGGGAAGCCUGGGUUCGACUCCCAGCGUCCGAG